CGAUCCACUGGACAGUCUAAUCUAGUUAUGGGGUCAAUUCUGACAUCAAGUGAUUUCAGCCCCCUCCUGAUCACAGUUGCGGGGGAUCCAACUGUGGUCCUCCCUACCAAGUGAAUUCAGUUAACAUUGGACCAACUACUAACGAUCGGUGAAAUUAUUUUAAUUUUUAAUUGUUUGGUUUACUUUUUUAAUAGAAGAGAGGAAUGGAGAUUUCAAACCACAUACACACACAUCAUAUCUUCACAUGCAAGCAUUCAAAAUCUAGUAAAAACACAACCUUAAAAAAAAAANNNNNNNNNNNNNNNNNNNNAUAUUGUAUACAUAUCCUAUCUCCACUCUCCACUGGCAUAGAUGCAUCUUCUAGUGCACCAAUGUUUAUACAUCCCAAGACGUUAUCUCAUCUCAUAUUCUCAUAUCUUCUAAAAGGGAGGUGUUAAAUAACGGUGAACAUAUAGAGAAGAAGAAUAACAAAGGAGAAGAGAACACCCUUUAGGUUAGGGUUUCAAUCAUAUGAGCAAAGCUUGAUGAAACAAUAGUACAAUAGAGUAUAUAAACUAGAAAUUAGAAAAGACUAAACUACCCUAUAUAAUAAUAAUAAUAUAAUUAUUAUCUAAUAGGAGGCAGACUGAGUCAGUUAGUGCAGUAUGCAAAGAAAGAGGUUUCUAUUCAACAUCACAUUAGGGUAAAUCAUGCGUCACCCACCAGGGUAGUGUCAUAUAUGCCAAAUAUUAUACUCCCUCGUUGAUCAAUUUUGGAAUCAUAUGAUUUGAUACAAACACUUACCCAU
rnacentral:lncRNA from 1 species